GCCAGGUGUGGUGGUGCACACCUGUAAUCCCAGCUACUCGGGAGGCUGAGGCAGGCGAAUCGCUUAAACCCAGGAGGUGGAGUUAAUAGUGAGCCAACAUCGCGCCACUGCACUCCAGCCUGGGUGACAGAGUGAGACUCUGUCUCAA
rnacentral:SRP_RNA from 1 species